GGUGGGGAAUAACAGUCGGAGACGACUGCUAAUACCGCAUAAUGCAGCGGCUCCUUAUGGAGACAGUUGUUAAAGAUUUAUCGCCCAAAGAGCAGCCUGCGGCAGAUUAGCUAGUUGGUAAGGUAAUGGCUUACCAAGGCUACGAUCUGUAUCCGACCUGAGAGGGUGGUCGGACACACUGACACUGAAUAACGGGUCAGACUCCUACGGGAGGCAGCAGUCGGGAAUUUUGGGCAAUGGGCGAAAGCCUGACCCAGCAACGCCGCGUGAAGGAUGAAGUCUCUCGGGAUGUAAACUUCGUAAGAAUAGGAAGAAUAAAUGACGGUACUAUUUGUAAGGUCCGGCUAACUACGUGCCAGCAGCCGCGGUAAUACGUAGGGACCAAGCGUUGUUCGGAUUUACUGGGCGUAAAGGGCGCGUAGGCGGCAAUUUCAAGUCAGUUGUGAAAUCUCCGAGCUUAACUCGGAACGGUCAACUGAUACUGCUUUGCUAGAGUACAGAAGGGGCAAUCGGAAUCUUGGUGUAGCGGU
rnacentral:rRNA from 1 species